UUUCCGGUACGAUCACCGAAGUUAAGCAAGGUCGGGCGUAGUCAGUACCUAGAUGGGUAACCGCUUGGUAAUACUAAGUGUUGUAAG